CAACCCAUUCAGUCUUUUCAGAUUUUAAAAUAUUUCUACGUAACUUUUAUAAACUUGUAGCUAUAAUCCAUACAAAGAAAAUGUAUGUUAAAAUUAGUUCGUAAUAUAAGCAGUUACCUAGAAAUGGGCAAUUUUGCAUAAGUCACUGUUUUCGUUAUUUUGCCUGUAAAAUAGUCAAUUAUUAUUGGAUUUUCAGAAAAGUGACACCAUUUGAUUCAAAAAGCAAGUAUGCGUCAUAUCAAAUUGAUUACAAUUUAAAAUUGACACCGGAAGUGACGCCAUUUUGUCAAAAAAUGCAUUUUUAUACGCCCACAUUUUCAUGUGGACGUAUAUUGUUGUCGCCCCUGUCCGUCCGUCCGUCCGUCCGUCCACAAUUGUUUGUGAACAGUCUACAGGUCACAAUUUUUAUCUGAUUUCAAUGAAACUUGAAAUAUAGGUUUAUCACCCUAAGAUCUCGGUUCCUUUCGAUAUUGGCAUCUAUCGGACCGUAACUUCAUGGAUUAUGGCCCCUGAUUGUACGAAAAAUCACGUUUUUGGCUUGUGAACACUGUAGAGGUCACAAUUUUUAUCCGAUUUUGUUGAAACUUAAAAUGUAAGUUUAUAACCCAAAGAUCUUGGUUCCUUUCGAUAUUCACGCAUAUCGGACCGUAACUUCCUGAAUUAUGGACCCUGAUUGUACGUAAAAACAUGUUUUUUGGCUUGUGGACCCUAUAGAGGUCAUAAUUUUUAUCCUAUUUAAAAAAACGUAUUAUUAUAUCACCGUUAAACCCUAAGGACGGUUGAGUUCGAAUUUCGUGAAAAUCGGCCCAAAACUGACAGACAAAAGGGCCGCCCUUCGUUAUCAAAUAGCGUAAAAAAUAUGGUAUAUCAAGGUUGUGGACCCUAUAGAGGUCACAAUUUUUAUCCGAUUUUGUUAAAACUUGAAAUUUUAGUUUAUAACCCAAAGAUCUCGGUUCCGUUCAAUAUUCGCACAUAUCGGACCGUAACUUCCUGAAUUAUGGCCCCUGAUUGUAUGAAAAAUCACGUUUUUAGCUUGUGGACCCUAUAGAGGUCAUAAUUUUUAUCCGAUUUAAAAAAACGUGUUAAUAUAUCACCGUUACACCCUAAGGACGGCUGAGUUCGAAUUUUGUAAAAAUCGGCCCAAAACUGACAGACAAAAUGGCCGCCGUUCGUUCUCAAAUAGCGUAAAAAUAUGGUAUAUCAAGUUUGUUGACACUAUAGAGGUCACAAUUUUUAUCCGAUUUUGUUGAAACUUGAAAUGUAAGUUUAUAACACAAAGAUCUUGGUUCCUUUCGAUAUUCACGCAUAUCGGAUCGUAACUUCAUGAAUUAUGGCCCCUGAUUGUACGCAAAAACGCGUUUUUUGGCUUGUAGACCCUAUAGAGGUCAUAAUUUUUAUCCGAUUUAAAAAAACGUGUUAAUAUAUCACCGUUACACCAUAAGGACAGCUGAGUUUGAAUUUCGUGAAAAUCGGCCCAAAACUGACAGACAAAAUGGCUGCCGUUCGUUCUCAAAUAGCGUAAAAAUAUCAAGGUGUAUCAAGGUUGUGGACCCUAUAGAGGUCACAAUUUUUAUCCCAUUUUGUUGAAACUUGAAAUGUAAGUUUAUAACCCAAAGAUCUCGGUUCCUUUUGAUAUUCGCGCAUAUGGGACCGUAACUUCCUGAAUUAUGGCCCCUGAUUGUACGAAAAAUGACAUUUUUAGCUUGUGGAUCCUAUAGAGGUCAUAAUUAUUAUCCGAUUUAAAAAAUCAUAUUAUUAUAUCACCGUCACACCCUAAGGACGACUGAGUUCGAAUUUCGUGAAAAUCGGCCAAAAACUGACAGAUAAAAUGGCCGCCCUUCGUUCUCAAAUAGCGUAAAAAUAUGGUAUAUCAGAGGUUACAAUUUUUUUAUCCGAUUUUGUUGAAACUUGAAAUGUAAGUUUAUAACCCAAAGAUCUUGCUUCCUUUCGAUAUUCGCGCAUUUCGGACCGUAACUUACUGAAUUAUGGCCCCUGAUUGUAUGAAAAAACGCGUUGUUAGCUUGUGGACCCUAUUUUUAUCCGAUGGUUUCAUUGGUACCGGAAGUGACAUAUGUUUAGGGUAAUGUGGCACCGGUGAAACCGUAGUCAUAAAAAUCGGUGCUCUUGCAAACAUCGUGAUUCCACGGUUGGGUGUGACCGGAUGAAAACACCUAAAGUAUCGUUUGGUAGCUCGAUGAAUGAGCUAUUGUAUGACACACUUCCUGUCUGAUUCCUGAAAGCCGGUUCAGUGCUGCUUUUGCAGGUCUAGUUAUUAUUAUUAUUUAUCCCGGGAGCCUAUUUCUCCAUGAUCGAAAACAGAUAUCGAUCUGGAACCAAAUAUUCUAUUGGGAAACCAGGUGGUGGCUACUCCUUAAAACAAUUUUGAAACUUCUGCGCAUACCGGAAGUGACCAUAAUUUUUAUCCGAUGGUUUCAUUGGUACCGGAAGUGACAUAUGUUUAGGGUAAUGUGGCACCGGUGAAACCGUAGUCAUAAAAAUAUUCGAAAUUAAAAAAAACAACAGUAAAAAUCGGUGCUCUUGCAAACAUCGUGAUUCCACGGUUGGGUGUGACCGGAUGAAAACACCUAAAGUAUCGUUUGGUAGCUCGAUGAAUGAGCUAUUGUAUGACACACUUCCUGUCUGAUUCCUGAAAGCCGGUUCAGUGCUGCUUGCAGGUCUAGUUAUUAUUAUUAUUUAUCCCGGGAGCCUAUUUCUCCAUGAUCGAAAACAGAUAUCGAUCUGGAACCAAAUAUUCUAUUGGGAAACCAGGUGGUGGCUACUCCUUAAAACAAUUUUGAAACUUCUGCGCAUACCGGAAGUGACCAAACUUUGUACUUUUUCGCGAUAUUGAAAAUUGGCCGUGGUUUCAUCAACUCUUUACCUAUUUUCAAACAAAUGACAUUUUCAGAGACCCUGAUUCUUUUCCGGGACAAUGGCUAUCUCACAUUUUUUAAUUUCGAAAAUUCAGCCUGGACUUUUGUCGUUCGAAAAUUGAAAAAACGUAGUUUACGAGACAUUUUUGCUAUUUUUCAAAAUUUUCAAAUUUGACCUACAUUUUGGGAUACCUGAAGACCAUCCAAUUCCAGAAAUAUAAGUUUCAUUCCGAGUUAUCGCCUUUUUUAUUACACAGUUUUGACCACAAUGUGUUUCGAUUCGCAUUUUGGUAUUCUAAAUUGAUGCUUAUACGGAAUUCUUAUAUUUAGUUCCAUUUUGUGUGCGGAAAUUAAAUCAACGAUAAGUUUUAAAAUUAAUUAUGAUGCCGAAAUAAUAUCAAUCCAAUUGUAUUUUGGCGAGUCAUUAAGUUGUCAAUAUGUAAUUGUAAAAUACCUUUUUUUUAUCCAUCUAAUAAUUUAUAUUCAGAUUUCAUAUCAAGUCAAUUAAAUGUUGUCUAAACAUUAAAAUCAUAACAGCAAUUAACAAAUAAUACGAGUAUACUUUAUUACAAAAACAUCAGUGAAGUAUUCUAAAAAUCUAAAAUCAUAAGGGCAAUUAAAUAACAAUACGAAUAUACUUCACUACAAAACCAUGUGUCUGGAUUAGGGGAUUAAUUAAACAAUAGGCAUAGGCGUACGGGGAAAUUUUUGACUGAGGGGUGGGGGGCGGUGGUGUUUGGUGCCCAAAAAAUGUAGUUAGGUUCUUAGUAUGUUACAUAAUAGUAAUAAAUUCGCUGUUAAAUUGGACACACUCAAGAAUACAAUAUUUUUUUUUUAUACAAAUUUUACAAAGUACAAUUGUGUAAACAAUAUGUGGAUUAGGUUUUAGACUUGGAUGUGAGGUAUCCCGAAUGUUAGUGUGUAAACUGAUAAGUGUUUUAUGUGCAAUAUAUGUGCAUAUAGUUUGUAGAGGAACUUUCCAUGUAUUUGGAUAUUAAAUAUUUUAAUGACCCUGCUUGUUUUGCUUUUGUUUUUGGUUAGAAAUACUCGAUUUUAUUGUGACAAGACUAAUUAUAAACUGGAUACGAUUUGCGGUCCUUGCCCGUUUCAAUGGGGGGAAACUGUACCUACCUAUUUUUAUCCGAUGGUUUCAUUGGUACCGGAAGUGACAUAUGUUUAGGGUAAUGUGGCACCGGUGAAACCGUAGUCAUAAAAAUCGGUGCUCUUGCAAACAUCGUGAUUCCACGGUUGGGUGUGACCGGAUGAAAACACCUAAAGUAUCGUUUGGUAGCUCGAUGAAUGAGCUAUUGUAUGACACACUUCCUGUCUGAUUCCUGAAAGCCGGUUCAGUGCUGCUUUUGCAGGUCUAGUUAUUAUUAUUAUUUAUCCCGGGAGCCUAUUUCUCCAUGAUCGAAAACAGAUAUCGAUCUGGAACCAAAUAUUCUAUUGGGAAACCAGGUGGUGGCUACUCCUUAAAACAAUUUUGAAACUUCUGCGCAUACCGGAAGUGACCAUAAUUUUUAUCCGAUGGUUUCAUUGGUACCGGAAGUGACAUAUGUUUAGGGUAAUGUGGCACCGGUGAAACCGUAGUCAUAAAAAUAUUCGAAAUUAAAAAAAACAACAGUAAAAAUCGGUGCUCUUGCAAACAUCGUGAUUCCACGGUUGGGUGUGACCGGAUGAAAACACCUAAAGUAUCGUUUGGUAGCUCGAUGAAUGAGCUAUUGUAUGACACACUUCCUGUCUGAUUCCUGAAAGCCGGUUCAGUGCUGCUUGCAGGUCUAGUUAUUAUUAUUAUUUAUCCCGGGAGCCUAUUUCUCCAUGAUCGAAAACAGAUAUCGAUCUGGAACCAAAUAUUCUAUUGGGAAACCAGGUGGUGGCUACUCCUUAAAACAAUUUUGAAACUUCUGCGCAUACCGGAAGUGACCAAACUUUGUACUUUUUCGCGAUAUUGAAAAUUGGCCGUGGUUUCAUCAACUCUUUACCUAUUUUCAAACAAAUGACAUUUUCAGAGACCCUGAUUCUUUUCCGGGACAAUGGCUAUCUCACAUUUUUUAAUUUCGAAAAUUCAGCCUGGACUUUUGUCGUUCGAAAAUUGAAAAAACGUAGUUUACGAGACAUUUUUGCUAUUUUUCAAAAUUUUCAAAUUUGACCUACAUUUUGGGAUACCUGAAGACCAUCCAAUUCCAGAAAUAUAAGUUUCAUUCCGAGUUAUCGCCUUUUUUAUUACACAGUUUUGACCACAAUGUGUUUCGAUUCGCAUUUUGGUAUUCUAAAUUGAUGCUUAUACGGAAUUCUUAUAUUUAGUUCCAUUUUGUGUGCGGAAAUUAAAUCAACGAUAAGUUUUAAAAUUAAUUAUGAUGCCGAAAUAAUAUCAAUCCAAUUGUAUUUUGGCGAGUCAUUAAGUUGUCAAUAUGUAAUUGUAAAAUACCUUUUUUUUAUCCAUCUAAUAAUUUAUAUUCAGAUUUCAUAUCAAGUCAAUUAAAUGUUGUCUAAACAUUAAAAUCAUAACAGCAAUUAACAAACAAUACGAGUAUACUUUAUUACAAAAACAUCAGUGAAGUAUUCUAAAAAUCUAAAAUCAUAAGGGCAAUUAAAUAACAAUACGAAUAUACUUCACUACAAAACCAUGUGUCUGGAUUAGGGGAUUAAUUAAACAAUAGGCAUAGGCGUACGGGGAAAUUUUUGACUGAGGGGUGGGGGGCGGUGGUGUUUGGUGCCCAAAAAAUGUAGUUAGGUUCUUAGUAUGUUACAUAAUAGUAAUAAAUUCGCUGUUAAAUUGGACACACUCAAGAAUACAAUAUUUUUUUUUUAUACAAAUUUUACAAAGUACAAUUGUGUAAACAAUAUGUGGAUUAGGUUUUAGACUUGGAUGUGAGGUAUCCCGAAUGUUAGUGUGUAAACUGAUAAGUGUUUUAUGUGCAAUAUAUGUGCAUAUAGUUUGUAGAGGAACUUUCCAUGUAUUUGGAUAUUAAAUAUUUUAAUGACCCUGCUUGUUUUGCUUUUGUUUUUGGUUAGAAAUACUCGAUUUUAUUGUGACAAGACUAAUUAUAAACUGGAUACGAUUUGCGGUCCUUGCCCGUUUCAAUGGGGGGAAACUGUACCUACAGUUGUUAACAAUUCCCCUCCUUCGGUAUUUCUUCAACAUUCCCAAGGGGUGGGAAUACAAAAAUAAAUGUUGGCGAAAAUAGUCCCCCAAAGACGUCUAGAUAAAUGGUAAACUGAUAAGUGUUUUAUGUGCAAUAUAUGUGCAUAUAGUUUGUAGAGGAACUUUCCAUGUAUUUGGAUAUUAAAUAUUUUAAUGACCCUGCUUGUUUUGCUUUUGUUUUUGGUUAGAAAUACUCGAUUUUAUUGUGACAAGACUAAUUAUAAACUGGAUACGAUUUGCGGUCCUUGCCCGUUUCAAUGGGGGGAAACUGUACCUACAGUUGUUAACAAUUCCCCUCCUUCGGUAUUUCUUCAACAUUCCCAAGGGGUGGGAAUACAAAAAUAAAUGUUGGCGAAAAUAGUCCCCCAAAGACGUCUAGAUAAAUGGCAAAAUAGACGUUUCAUUUGUGGCCGAAACGAGAACUGCACGCAAUAAUUUGUAAAUUCACAAAUACAUUUGUUAUUAAUUGCGGAAGCAGGUAAAUAACCCAGAAAGCAAGAUUAUAAGUAACAAGAUAUACGUCCAUUGUUUUGUUAUUUUCUAAUAAAUAAAAUGUGAGUUUUAUCUACGCUGGGGAAAUUGUCAAAUCAUUGUAAAUCGACUUCCCAAUGGAUGUCGGCAAUACCGAAGAAUGGACGAUAUUCAACAAAUAUGCAAUUCAUUCAAAAAUUUUAGACACAAUACUCAGAUUCUAAAUCUGACCAUAGUUUCAAAAAUUGGGAGACAGAACUUAAAUAUUUCACACAAAAACAAACGCCUCAAGUUUUCUAGAUGACACUGGGCAAACUAAUUACAACACAUGAAAAGUAAACGGCAUUGCAUUACUACUCACCCGUAAGUUACUAGACGGCUCUCGGUAAAGUGGUAAUUUGACGUAAAAUCUAAAGGCUUUAAAUAAUUAAACACUCUGUUCAUUUCUUGACAACGUCCGGGAAAAUAAAUGCCUUGUCUAUAAACUAAACCCCUUUCAAAUCUAAAUGGUAGUGUUCAUUUCUAAAAAACAUCCCGAGAAACUGGACGGUCGUAAAGCAGACGAUCGUUUUCAAAAGUAAACGGUGUUUACCACCCUAAGAUCUUGGUUCCUUUCGAUAUUGGCAUGUAUCAGACUGUAACUUCAUGGAUUAUGGCCCCUGAUUGUACGAAAAAUCACGUUUUUAGCUUGUGAACACUGUAGAGGUCACAAUUUUUAUCCGAUUUAGUUUCAACUUGAAAUGUACGAUUAUAACCUAAAGAUCUCGGAUCCUUUCGAUAUUCGCGCAUAUCGGAACGUAACUUCCUGAAUUAUGGCCCCUGAUUGUACGAAAAAUCGCGUUUUUAGCUUGUGGACCAUAUAGAGGUCAUAAUUUUUAUCUGAUUUAAAAAAACGUAUAAUUCUUUCACCGUUACACCCCAAGGACGGCUGAGUUCGAAUUUCGUGAAAAUCGGCCCAAAACUGACAGGCAAAAUUUCAAGGUUGUGGACCCUAAAGAGGUCAGAAUUUUUUAUCCGAUUUUGUUGAAACUUGAAAUAUAAGUUUAUAACCCAAAGAUCUUGGUUCCUUUCGAUGUUCGCGCAUAUCGGACUGUAACUUCCUGAAUUAUGGCCCCUGAUUGUACGAAAAAUCACUUUCUUUUUAGCUUGUUCUCUAUCCAUCUCUCGAAAAUGUGGGCGUAUCCUGCCUGGCAGCCGCUGGUUAUCUGAUUUUGUUGAAACUUGAAAUGUAAGUUUAUAACACAAAGAUCUCGGUUCCUUUCGAUAUUUGCGCAUAUCGGACCGUAACUUCAUGAAUUAUGGCCCCUUAUUGUGGACCCUAUAGAGGUCAUAAUUUUUAUCCGAUUUAAAAAAACGUUUUAUUAUAUCACCGUUACAUCCUAAGGACGGUUGAGUUCGAAUUUCAUGAAAAUCGGCCCAAAACUGACAGACAAAAUGGCUGCCCUUCAUCUCAAAUAGCGUAAAAAUAUGGUAUAUCAAGGUUGUGGACCCUAUAGAGGUCACAAUUUUUAUCCGAUUUUGUUGAAACUUGAAAUGUAAGUUUAUAACACAAAGAUCUCGGUUUCUUUCGAUAUUCGCGCAUAUCAGACCUUAUCUGUCGAUCUGUAUUAAAUUUUAUAUUUGCCAUUGAAGUUAGUAAAAAAAAGAAUCCUAUUGAAUUUCAGCAAUUUUUGUUUAUUACGUCUAGAAUUAUGGUUCUUUUCACUUUAUUGAACCUUGUGAAAAGUCCACGCCGAAAGUUAUCGUCUGAUCUUUGUGAAAUUUAUAUGCAUUAUUUAAAUUAGUGAAACCACAAAGCCUGUUGAAUUUCAGCAAUUUACAAUAAUUACUUCUAGAGUUAUGGCCCUUGUUUCACUUUGUUGGACUUUGUGAACGUUCUAACCUCUAAAGUUAUCUGCCGAUCUGUAUGAAAUUUAUAUGUGCCAUUGAAGUUAGUAAAAAAAAGAAUCCUACUGAAUUUCAGCAAUUUCUGUUUAUUACGUCUAGAAUUAUGGUUCUUUUCACUUUAUUGAACCUUGUGAACACUCCAACGCCAAAAGUUAUCAUCCGAUCUUUGUGAAAUUUGUGAAAUUUAUAUGCAUUAUUUAAAUUAGUAAAACCACAAAGCCUGUUGAAUUUCAGCAAUUUACAAUAAUUACUUCUAGAGUUAUGGCCCUUGUUUCACAUUGUUCAACCUUGUUAAUGCUCGAUUGAUGAAAGUUAUCUUCCGAUAUGUAUGAAAUUUAUAUGUAUCAUUUAAAUUUGUGAAACAGAGGUCUAUUGAAGUUCAGCAAUUUCUGUCAAUAAUUUCUAGAGUUAUGGCCCUUGUUUUACUUUGUGAACGUUUGAAUAACAAAAGUGAUCAUCCAAUCUGUAUGAAAUUUAUAUGCAUUAUUUAAAUUAGUAAAACGAAAAAGCCCUGUCAAAUUGCCACAAUUUCUGUAAACUACUUCCAGAGUUGAGGCCCUUGUUUCAGUUUGUAGAACCUUGUGAACCCUCAAACGACAAAAAUUAUAAUCUGAUCUGUAUGGAACUGUCUUGUAAAGGCCCCCAAUUACCUACAAAGCAAUAAAUAUGUGACAACCCUUGUCGACCACUCAGACGAUUUAACUGCUGUUGGCGUAUGUUUUGUUGCCUGGCAACCUAUCAUCUAUUUUAUGAAGAAAACAUGUCAUUUUCGAUCUGAAAAAGCAAGUUUUUUUAUGCAAAAUAAGCCGUUCCGUGGGACUAUUGCAUUGAAAAUGAGAGCAAUUUCAGUUUUCCUACAACAGAAGUAACUAGUUCCAAAUCUUUAAUAUUGAUGCUAGGAGUUUAAGAUUGUUACAACCGUCCUACACAUAUAAUGUAGUCAUUGUUAAACUUUGAGGCCUUUAGCUUCAAUAUCAAUACGACCAUUUUUAUUUGCCAAAUUUCUUUCCAUUGUCGGAUGACGGCUUGAUACAAAAGGUAUAUAUGGGCUGGGAUCUUUAAUAUUAAUGCUAGGAGCCUCCAAUUGUCACAUCUCUUUCAUAAUAUAUAUAGGAUGAAUGUCUGAAAAUGCCAGCUUCCUCGAUUCAGGAAAAAUUGAAAUAUACAGAAAUGAAAUUGGAAAAAGGUGAUUUCUCGACAGUAGCCUAAUGAAUAUGACACUGAAUUGAAUUUUUAUUACUAUUAAUUUCUAAUUUUACAGAGUUGCAAUGUUAAUAGCAGUUGAUCAAGAUGUCCAGGAAGAGUUUGCAAUAAAACAGUUGAUCCAAU